rnacentral:rRNA from 1 species
AUACGGAGGAUCCGAGCGUUAUCCGGAUUUAUUGGGUUUAAAGGGUGCGCAGGCGGGAGAUUAAGUCGGCGGUGAAAUUUUGCAGCUCAACUGUAAAAGUGCCUUCGAAACUGGUUUCCUUGAGUGUAGAUGAAGUAGGCGGGAUUUGUGGUGUAGCGGUGAAAUGCAUAGAUAUCACGAGGAACUCCGAUUGCGCAGGCAGCGUACUAAACUACUACUGACGCUCAGGCACGAAGGCGUGGGGAUCAAACAGGAUUAGAUACCCUGGUAGUCCACGCAGUAAACGAGGAUUACUAGCUGUUUGCGAUACAAUGUAAGCGGCUGAGCGAAAGCGUUAAGUAAUCCACCUGGGGAGUACGUUCGCAAGAAUGAAACUCAAAGGAAUUGACGGGG